rnacentral:rRNA from 1 species
UCUGGUGGCUACAGCGAAGAGGUCACACCCGUUCCCAUCCCGAACACGGCAGUUAAGCUCUUCAGCGCCGAUGGUAGUUGGGGGUCUCCCCCUGUGAGAGCAGGACGCCGCCAGGC